GAGUUGUGAAUGGAGCUCCCUUUGGUCCAAUUCAGAGGGCUGAGUAGUGGUUAGAGCUGUCAUCUCAUGCAUUUUGGCUACCCUUAAUAGUUAUGGAAAGUAAUGUUAAGGUUUCCCAGUUGCAUGAUAUGGGAGCAACUCCUUCCGCUUGCUUGGACCGCCCAUUGGACUGAAGGGAGCUCCUGCAUUAAUUCAU
rnacentral:pre_miRNA from 1 species